rnacentral:rRNA from 1 species
UACGUAGGGUGCAAGCGUUGUCCGGAAUUACUGGGCGUAAAGCGCAUGUAGGUGGUUUAAUAAGUUUGAUGUGAAUGCCCUGGGCUUAACCUGGGAACGGCGUUGAAGACUGUUGAACUGGAGAGUGAUAGAGGGUCGUGGAAUUUCCGGUGUAGCGGUGAAAUGCGUAGAGAUCGGAAAGAACACCAGUGGCGAAGGCGGCGACCUGGGUCACCACUGACACUGAGGUGCGAAAGCGUGGGGAGCAAACAGG